CAGCCGUAAACAAUGUGCGUUAGGUGUGUCGGGAACCACGUGUUACUGAUGCGCCGAAGAGAAAUCGUGAAACGCACCACCUGGGAAGUACGGUCGCAAGGCUGAAACUUAAAGGAAUUGGCGGGGGAGCACCACAACAGGUGGAGCCUGCGGUUUAAUUGGAUUCAACGCCGGACAUCUCACCGGAUAAGACAGCUGAAUGAUUGUCAAUCUGAAGGUUUUACAUGACUAGCUGAGAGGUGGUGCAUGGC
rnacentral:rRNA from 1 species